UCCAAUGAUGGCAUGAAAUCUUUGAGACCUGAUUUUUAUUGAUGAAACGCUGUAAGCAUUUUUACUCUUGAGGAU
rfam:Brassica napus, WGS project CCCW01000000 data, contig: 12342